AUGGGGACAGAGGAUCCUGCAGCGAUGUUGUUUCUUUGUUCUCCUGCUCAAGGUUUGCUAUCAAGAUCUCAAAAAGGAAAAACAACUUUACUCUGUUUUCUGGAGAACCUUCCCAUAGAGUCACUACCUCAACAGAGACAAAUAUGCGAUCAAGGAUAUAUUCGAUGGAUUUUCAAGCAAAACUUGGAGGCUAUUUUUCCAGAUAGUUUGGUGCUCUCAUGGUUAUUUUGUAGAGAUUGUUCCUCUGUUCAUUUCUUGGUAACCGUCUACUGCAGCUCAGCUACUGUCCAGCAGCUGACCUUAUGGUUCCUUGCUGCCCUAUCAUCUUCAUCUUGUUAUUUGGUUGCUGCUACGUGGACUGUGGUGAUUUACUACAUUUUGAUCUUCUCACUACUCAAGCAAGGUCCUUUCUGA
rnacentral:rRNA from 1 species